rnacentral:rRNA from 1 species
CCUACGUGUGGCAGCAGUGGGGAAUAUUGCACAAUGGGCGAAAGCCUGAUGCAGCAACGCCGCGUGAAGGAAGAAGGGUUUCGGCUCGUAAACUUCUAUCAACAGGGACGAAAGAAAUGACGGUACAUGAAUAAGAAGCCCCGGCUAACUACGUGCCAGCAGCCGCGGUAAUACGUAGGGGGCAAGCGUUAUCCGGAAUUACUGGGUGUAAAGGGUGAGUAGGCGGGAUGGUAAGCCAGAUGUGAAAGCCUUGGGCUUAACCCGAGGAUUGCCUUUGGAACUAUCAAGCUAGAGUACAGGAGGGGCAGGCGGAAUUCCUGGUGUAGCGGUGAAAUGCGUAGAUAUCAGGAGGAACACCGGUGGCGAAGGCGGCCUGCUGGACUGCGACUGACGUUGAGGCCCGAAAGCGUGGGGAGCAAACAGGAUUAGAUACCCGUGUAGUC